CGUCCGCGUCGGCGUCCGCGUCGCCGGCUGUCGUUGCGUUUCAAUCAGCCGAAAUUCGACAGCGGGCCGCGUGGCACGCGCGCGAUUAAAUAAAUUACAGAGUCUCGCGGGGUCCGGCUCGUGGGAGAGACAGCCAGCCGGCUGCAUAAUCUGUCAUUGUGUCAGGCGCAGGACGUUUUCACGCUGCGGUGUGCGGCCGCCGAGUAGCGUGCGUGGGUGUGCACGCGGUCGACGACAGGCCUGCUCGCGUUGGAUAAUGAGUAUUCGCGCGAGGACACGCGGAACCGAGACCGCCAUAACCUAAUUCCGCUGCGGCCGCCGCCUCGGCCCCUUCGAGGCCACCGGGCUGAUCCAUUCGCGGGCCACGUCUGAUCUCACUCGGUUUCUGGAUCGACGAUUACCGGCCCUGAAUCGUGAUUUCCAAGAGAGACCUGUUAAUCACGCUUCCACGGAACAAUUUUUUUCCUCCGCCAGUUGGCGCGCCGUUUUGGUUCCUUCGCUGUCCUGGAUCGGCCGCGGAACCACAGCCGUCGCUUCCAGGACAAUUCUGUGCAUUCGGGAGAAAAAUCGGAAUCACGGCAAUGUGUCCCGGCACCGAACUAAGAAUUCGCGCGUUCGCAUUUCACGGAGGGCCGGCGCAGAGGAACCGGAAGAGGGAUUUAUCUCGGAGAUUCGUGGAAGGGGGUUGACGGACAAAGGACGAAAGGGGUUGCACGGGGACGUGGUUGCGGCAAGCAGCGCGUGGUAAAUGGAUUUGCCGGGGAAGCCCGACGCGCUACGUGACAUUGAUAAUUUGCCACGAAGACCGGAGGAGGAAACGCAAAAGAGCAUCGGGAUUAGAUGGUCGGCUGCGCUCUUCCGGAUUGUCUGCGAUGCAUUUCAGUUAGUGGUCGAUCGUGACGGCCGAGGAACGUUCGGGAAACAGCUCCCGGAAAAUUACAGUUAUUAGCGAUUAAUAGCUGCAAAACCUGCUUGCCAGACGACUGGUUUCGAGCCCCAGCCCUCGACAGGCUUAGCAUUAUUGUGAGCAUCUUGUAUAAAUUGCGGAGAGGCAACGGAACUUCGUAGAUGAUCAAUUGCAGGUUUCAUUUUUGGUGGAUGCAGCAAGGGAGCAGCGUUUGUGCAGUGCGCAAAGAAUGUUUGUUACAAUUAACAACCAAAAGAAUUUUUAUAAUAGUCCUUUUGUGAUCAGAGAUCAGCAGAAGGGAGUUUCUUAAAAAAUGCCUGAAAAUAGAUAACAGUUUCAUUAAUAAUUCGCUUAACAAGUUCUUCUGAAAUUAUUACUCGAGAGAAGAUUAUUUAUUUUCUUUCGCAUACAGCACAGUCGUUGAAAAGCUUGUCAGUAGGCUUCCGGUGUGUAAAACGUUAAUUAAUUGGCAAUAUUUAUGUGAAAUAAAAAUGUUCCACAUCGAUGGUUAAAAAAAUAGCUA